CUCAGAGUCAUCAUCAUCAUCAUCAUCAUCAUCAUCAUCCUCACCAUGUUCUCUGUAGCUCUGCUGCUGCUGCUGGCAGCUGGAAAUGUGAAGUGUGAACAGUUGACACAGCCAGCCUCUGUGACUGUGCAGCCAGGUCAACGUCUGACCAUCACCUGUCAGGUCUCUUAUUCUCUUAGCAGCUACUACACAGCCUGGAUCAGACAGCCUGCAGGGAAAGGACUGGAGUGGAUAGGAAUGAAAUACACUGGAGGUUCAUACUACAAAGAUUCACUGAAGAGCAAGUUCAGUAUCGACUUAGACUCUUCCAGCAACACAGUGACUCUGAACGGACAGAGCGUGCAGCCUGGAGACUCUGCUGUGUAUUACUGUGCCAGAGACACACUGUGACACACACCAUCAGUAGAGCUGUACAAAAACCCCUCAGAGCCUGAACACUUGUAACAUGAAGCCACCAGAGGAGGAGCCCUCAGACCAGAAAUGAUCUCAACACCAGCUCACUGUUACAUCAUCAGUUUAAACAUUUAGAGGUUAUAAUCACUGAUACA